ACGGAAGGCAGCAGUAGGGAAUUUUCGGCAAUGGGGGCAACCCUGACCGAGCAACGCCGCGUGAUUGAUGAAGUAUUUCGGUAUGUAAAAAUCUUUUAUAAGGGACGAACGAUAUGAUCAGGAAAUGGGUCGUAUGUGACUGUACCUUUUGAAUAAGCUCCGGCUAACUACGUGCCAGCAGCCGCGGUAAUACGUAGGGAGCAAGCGUUAUCCGGAAUUAUUGGGCGUAAAGGGUGCGUAGGCGGCAAAUUAAGUCUGAGGUAAAAGUGCGGAGCUUAACUCCGUGAUGCCUUGGAUACUGGUUAGCUAGAGUAUGGUAGAGGCAAGUGGAACUCCAUGUGUAGCGGUAAAAUGUGUAAAUAUAUGGAAGAACACCAGUGGCGAAGGCGGCUUGCUGGGCCAAAACUGACGCUGAGGCACGAAAGCGUGGGGAGCAAACAGGAUUAGAUACCCUGGUA
rnacentral:rRNA from 1 species